rnacentral:lncRNA from 1 species
GGCUUCGUUUUCAGCAUGCUCAUGUGGCCUCGAUUGUCAUGUUUUGACUUUUUGGCUUUUGCCGAUUCGCGGUAGAGGUGGUGUGGAUACACACCUGAUUGUGAAGACGCGUUAAAUCCACAAAUGCAGAACCUAUAUUUGGCAAUCAAACUUUGUUAAUCGACUACACAGUUAUACAAUUAAUUAAACUAAAGUUGUUACGACCGCUCACUUACCCUACUUCGAUCGAGCAAAAAAGAAUGGUUCGUUUACUUAGGUAUUCGCCA